UACGUAGGGCGCAAGCGUUGUCCGGAAUUAUUGGGCGUAAAGAGCUCGUAGGCGGUUUGUCGCGUCUGCUGUGAAAACCUAAGGCUCAACCUCGGGCUUGCAGUGGGUACGGGCAGACUAGAGUGCGGUAGGGGUGACUGGAAUUCCUGGUGUAGCGGUGGAAUGCGCAGAUAUCAGGAGGAACACCGAUGGCGAAGGCAGGUCACUGGGCCGCAACUGACGCUGAGGAGCGAAAGCAUGGGGAGCGAACAGG
rnacentral:rRNA from 1 species